GCUUAGCUGGCUUGGUCCACCGGAAUCUGCUGGAUGCCGGCCAGCAACCAGCCGCCAUUGGCCGGCUUGAACAGGUUCCAGACCUCUUCGAAGCG
rnacentral:tRNA from 1 species